GGCCUUUUGAUUAUAAUUUAAGGUCUAGCCUGCCCACUGAGUAAUUAAAUGGCCGCGGUAUACUGACCGUGCUAAGGUAGCAUAAUCAUUAGUUUUUUAAUUGAAAGCUGGUAUGAAUGGUUGAAUGAGAAAAUAACUGUCUCUUAUUAAUUUAUAGUGAAUUUUAUUAUUAAGUGAAAAUGCUUAAAUUAAUUUAAAAGACGAGAAGACCCUAUAGAGUUUAAUAAUUAAUAAAAUUUAAAUUUUUAGUAUUAUUAAUUAAAAUUAAAUUUAAUUAUUUGGUUGGGGUGAUUAGAAAAUUAAGUUAACUUUUCUUAAAAAUCAACCAUUUAUUUAUGAGUAUAUGAUCCAUUAAUUAUGAUUAAAAGAAUAAAUUACCUUAGGGAUAACAGCGUAAUUUUUUUUGAGAGUUCAAAUCGAAAAAAAAGAUUGCGACCUCGAUGUUGGAUUAAAAUAAAUUUAUGGUGCAGAAGCUAUAAAGAUUAGGUCUGUUCGACCUUUAAAAUUUUACAUGA
rnacentral:rRNA from 1 species